rnacentral:lncRNA from 1 species
GGAUACACCAGAAACAGGUCCAGCACAGGCCAGAACGAGGCACAGAACAUGCCUGAAACACCUGCUGGACACACCUGAACCACCUACUAGACCAGCCUGAACCACUUUACGGACAAUCCAGAACCACAUGCUGGGCACACCAGAACCAGGUGCCCAACACACCAGAACCACCUGCUGGACACGCCUGAACCACCAGCCAGUCUUGUAAGAACCACCUGACAGAUGCACCAGAACCACCUGCCGGAUACGCCAGAAACAGGUGUCGCACAUGCCAAAACCAGGUGCCGGACAUGAUUAAACCACUUGCAAGACACGCCAGAACCAGGUGCCGGACAUGCUGGAACCACCUGCCACACAUUGAAAUCACCUGCCAGAUAUGCCAGAACCAUGUGCCGGACAUGCCAGAAUCACCUACCAGACAUGCUGGGACCAUCUGUUGGAUACACUGGAACCAGGUGCCUGAUUUGCUGAAACUACCUGCCGGACAUGCCAGAAACAGGUGCUUGACAUGCCAGGACAACCCACAGGACACGUCAAAAUCACCUGCAUGAUACCCAGUAACCAUGUGCCAGAUAUAACAGAACCACCUGCUGGACACACUGGAGCCACCUGCUGGAUAUGCCAGAAACAGGUGCCCCACAAAACAGAUCCACCUGCCAGACAAGACUGAACCAUCUGCUGGUGGGGCCUGAACCACCUGCCAGACAUGCUGAAAUCACCUUCCGGAUGCACCAGAACCAUCUGUUGCACACACCAGAACCACCACCAGACAUGUGUGACACACCUGCCUGACACACUGGAACUAACUCUCAGACACAUCAGAACCAUCAUCCGGACACUCUGGAAGCACCCACCAGAGAUGCGAGAAUCACGUCCAGAACACGCUGGAAGCACCUGCAGGACACGCCAGAACCACCUGACUCACACGCCAAAAUCACCUGCCGGAUACGCCUGAACCACUUGACGGACACUUCAGAAUUACAUGCCGGUCAUGCCAGAACCAUCUCUCAGAUAUGCCAGAACCGGUGCCAGACACGCUGGAACCACCUUCUGGACAGACCUGAACCAACUGUCGAACACGCCAGAACCACCUGCUUGACUCGCUGGAACCACAUGCCGGACAUGCCAAAAUCAUCUGCCAGAUAUGCUGGCACCAGGCCCCUUAUACGCCAGAAAAAACUGACAGACAUGCCAAAACCACCUGUCGGACACAGUGGAACCACCACACAGACAUGCAAGAACCACCUGCCAGACACGCCGGAAGCACCCACCGGACACGACGGAACCACCUACAACCACCCGCCGGACAAACUGGAACCACGACUCUGACAUGCCAAAAUCACCUGCCAGACACGCCAGAACCAACUCCCGGACAUGCCGGAAGCACCCAAUGGACAUGCCGGAACCACCACUCAGAUAUGCCAGAACGACCCGCCAGACAAGCUGGAACAAACUGCCAGACAUGCCAGAAGCACCUUCCAGACACACUGGAACCACCUUCCAAACGUACCAGAACAACAUCCCAGACACACAGGAACCACCUGACAGAUACUUCGAACCACCUGUUGGCUAUGCCAGAACCAGGUGCCAGAUACACUGAAACCACCUGCCGAAUACACCAGAACCAGGUGCCGGACACGCCAGAAGCACCUGCCAGACAGGCCGGAACCACCAGCCUAACACGCCAGAACAACCUGCCAGACAUGCUAAAAUCAGCUGCCGGAUAUGCUGGAACCAGGUCCUGGACACGCCAGAACCAAUUUCCAUAAAAGGCCGGAACAACCUGCCAGACAUGCUGGAAUCACGCACCGGACAUGCGGGAACCAACUGCCGGACACGCCGGAUUCAACACCUGGACACGCUGAAAGCAGUGACCAGACAUGAGGGAAUUAGGUCCUGGACACACCAUAGCCACCUGGCGGACACACUGGAAUCACCUGCUGGACAUGUGGGAACCAACACCAGGACACACCGGAAGCACACAACAGACAUGUCGGAACCACCUUCUGGACAUACCAGAAACUCAUGCCAGACACACAGGAACCCCCUCCCUGGCAUGCCAGAACCACCAGAAUGGCACGCAGGUACCAUCGGGUGGACAUGCCGUAACUACCAGCCAGAGAAAACUGAACCACCAGCCAGAUACGCCUGAACCACUUGAUGGAUACUCUGGAACCACAUUCCGGGCAUGCCAGAACCACCUUUCAGAUAUGCCAGAACCAGAUGCUGGACACGCCGGAACCACCUUCCAGACAGGCCUGAACCACCUGCUGGACGUGCCUGAACCAUCUCCCAGACACGGUGGAACCACCUCCUUGACUCGUCAGAACCACAUGCUGGACAUGCAGAAAUCACCUGACAGAUAUGCCAGAACCAGGCUCCUUAUACAAUGGAACAACCUGACAGAAAUGCCGGAACCAACCCCCGGACACACGGGAACCACCACUCAGACACUCCGGAACCACCUGCCAGACACGCCAGAACCAACUGCUGGACACGCCGGAAGCACCCACCGGACAUGCCGGAACCACCUUCUGAAUGUACCAGAACCACAUGCCAGACACACAGGAACCUCCUGCCAGACACGCUGGAACCACCUGUUGGAUAUGGCAGAACAAGGUGCCGCGCACACUGAAACCACCUGCCAAAUACCCCAGAACCAGGUGCCAGACAUGGCAGAACCAGUAGCCGGACAUGUACAAAUCACCUGUCGGAUACACCAAAACCAUGUGCCAGACACACUGGAAGCACCUCCUGGACACGCCGGAGCCAUCUGCCAGAUAUGCCAGAAACAGGUCAUGCUAGGCCAGAAGCAGGUCCCAGACAAGCUUGCAGCGGAUGCCGGACUAGCCUGAACAACCUGCUGUACAAGCCUGAACCAACUGCUGGACCAGCCGGAGCCACUUUAUGGACAUUCUGGAACCACAUGCUGGGCAUGCGGGAACCACGUGCUCGACACACCAGAACCACCUGCUGAACAUGCAUGAACCACCUGCCAGCCUUGUGUGAACCACCUGCCGGACACGCCAGAACCACCUGCCGGAUACACCAGAAACAGGUGUCGCACACACCAGAACCAGGUGCUGGACACGACUGAACCACCUGCCGCACAAGCCUCAACCACUGGCUGGACAAGACUGAACCACUUGCCGGACACGCCAUCACCAUAUUCAGGACAUGCCAGAACCAUCUGGUGGGCAUGCCAGAAGCACCAGCUGAACAUGCCAGAGCCAGGUGCCAGACACGUCGAAAUUGCCUGCUGGGCACACCAAAAUCACCUGCCGAAUAUGCCAGAACCAGGUCCCGGAUAUGCCAAAAGCAACUUCCGGACAGGCCGGAAAAACCUGCCGGACAUGCUGGAAUCAUCAUUCAGGCAUGCCGCAACCACCAACCUGACAUGAUGGAAUCAGGCCCCGGACACAUCAUAGCCACCUGCUGGACAUGCCGGAAUCACCUGCCAGACAUGCAGGAACCAACUGCCGGACACCCCGGAAGCACCCACCAGACAUGUGGGAACCACCUUCCUGACAUACGGGAAACUCAUGCCAGACACAGAGGAACCCCCUGUCUGACAUGCUGGAACUACCUGAAUUAUACGCUGGUACCACUGGCUGGACAUGCCAAAACCACCUGCAAGACAAAAUUGAACCACCUGCCAUACAAGACUGAACCACCUGCCAGAUACGCCUGAACCACUUGACGGACACUCUGGAACCACAUGCCAGGCACGCCAGAACCACCUCUCAGAUAUGCCAGAACCAGUUCCUGGACAUGCCAGAACCACCUUCAGGACAGACCUGAAACACCUGCUGGACACGCCUGAACCACCUGCCAGAAAUUCCGAAAUCACCUGCCAGAUACGCUGGAAGCAGAACAUUUAAAUGCCAGAAAAACCCGACAGACAUUCCAGAACCACCCGCCGGACACAGUGGAACCACCAUACAGACACGCCAGAACCACCUGCCAGACACACAGGAAGCACCCACUGGACACGCCGGAACCACCUGGAACCACCCACCAGACACACUGUAACCACCAAUCAGACAUGCUGGAAUCAUGUGCCAGACAUGCUGGAACCAACUCCUGGACAUGCCAGAAGCACCCAACGGACAUGCCGGAACCAUCUUCCGAACAUACCAGAACCACACGCCAGAUAUACAGGAACCAUCUGCCAGACACGCUGGAACUACCUGUUGGAUAUGCCGGAACCAGGUGCCAGAUGCACUCAAACCACCUGCCGAAUACGCUAGAAGCAGGUGCUGGACAUGCCAGAAACACCUGCCAGACAAGCCGGAGUCAUCUACCAAACAUGCCAGAACAAACUGCCGGACAUGCCGAAAUCACCUGCUGGAUAUGCCAGAACCAGUUUCCAUAAAAGGCUGGAACAACCUGCCAGACACAACAGAAUCACCCACCGGAUAUGCGGGAACCAACUGCCAGACAUGCUGGAACCAACCUCUGGACACUCUGAAAUCACCAACCGGACAUGAUGGAAUCAGGUCCUGGACACACGGUAGCCACCUGCCUGACACGCCAGAACCACCUUAAGAACAUAUCAGAACCACAUGCCAGACACACAGGAACCACCCGCCAGACACCAUGGAACCAACUGUCAGAUACCUGCCUGACACGCUGGAACCAACUGUUGGACACGUCAGAACCAUCAUCCGGACACUCUGGAACCACCCACCUGAGAUGCGAGAAUCAGGUCCAGAACACACCGGAAGCACCUGGAGGACAUGCCAGAACCACGUGACUCACAUGCUGAAAUCACCAGCUGGAUAUGCCUGAACUACUUGACAGACACUCCGGAAUCACAUGCCAGGAAAGCCGGAAACACCUGUCAGAUGUGACAGAACCAGGCGCUGCACGUGCCUGAACAACCUGCCGGACACGCCAGAACCACUUGAAUGACAUGCCGGAACAACCUGUUGGAAAUGCCAAAAUCACCUAUCGGGUACGCUGGAACCAGGUCCUGGAUACACCAGAACCAAUGUCUGUAAAUGGCCGGAACAACCUGCCAGACAUGCCGGAAUCACCCAUUGGACAUGCGUGAACCAACUGCCGGACAUGCCAGAACCAACACCUGGACAUGCUGAAAGCAUCAACCAGACACGACAGAAUCAGGUCCCAGACACUCCAUAGCCACCUGCCAGACACGCCGGAAUCACCUGCCGGACAUAUGGGAACCAACAUCAGGACACACUAGAAGUACCCACCAGACACGUUGGAACCAUGUUCCGGACAUACCGGAAAUUGAUGCCACACAAGAACCCCCUGCCUGUCACGCCAGAACCACCUGAAUGACACCCCAGUACCAUCGGCCUGACAUGCCAUAACCACCUGCCAGAGAAAACUGAACCACCUGCCAGAUAAGACUGAACCACUUGCUGGACAGUCCUGAACCACUUGCCGGACAGUCCUGAACCACAUGCUGGGCAUGCCAGAACCUACUGUCAGAUAUGCCAGACUAGAUGCCAGACACGCUGGAAUCACCUUCCAGAGAGACCUGAACCACCUGCUGGUCAUGCCUGAAGCACCUACUGAACAUGCCGGAACCACCUCCUUGACUCGUCAGAACCACAUGCUGGAUGUGCAGAAAUCACCUUACGGAUACGCCAGAACCAGGCCCAUUAUACAACAGAGCAACCUGACCAAAAUGCAUGAAACAACCCCCAGGAACACUGGAGCCACCACUCAGACACUCUGGAACCACCCGCCAGACACGCUGGAACCAACUACUGGACACGCUGGAAGCACCCACCGGACAUGCCGGGCCCACCUUCUGAACGUACCAGAACCACAUGCCAGACCAACAGGAACCUCCUGCCAGACAUGCUGGAACCACCUGUUGGAUAUGCUGGAACAAGGUGCUGCAUACACGGAAGCCAUCUGCCAAAUACCCCAGCACCAGGUUCUGGACAUGGUGAAACCAAUGCCGGGCACAUCAAAACCACCUGUCGGAUAUGCCAAAACCAUGUGCUGGACACAUCAGACACACCUCCCAGGCAUGCUGGAGCCAUCUGCCAGGUACGCCAGAAACAGGUCCUGCUACGCCGGAACCAGGUGCCAGACAAGCCUGAAGCAGCUGCCGGACUAGCCUGAACCACCUGUUGGACCAGCCUGAAUCAACUGCUGGACCAGCCUGAACCACUUUACAGACAUUCCAGAACCACAUGCCAGGCACGCUGGAACCAGGUGCCCAAAACGCCAGAACCACUUGCUGAACACGCCGGAACUAGCUCCUGGA